CCCCUCUCAGGGUCGCACCUGGAGAGUUUACAGUACUCUACCAGUCUUGGCUAUGGGAGGGAGAGUCAAACAGAGACGUGUCUAUUCCAUUCCUAGCUUGGCCAGUGUCUAGCAAGUGGAAGGCAAUCUGCUACAAGU